CUGUCUGAAUAUGGGGGGACCAUCCUCCAAGGCUAAAUACUCCUGACUGACCGAUAGUGAACCAGUACCGUGAGGGAAAGGCGAAAAGAACCCCGGCGAGGGGAGUGAAAAAGAACCUGAAACCGUGUACGUACAAGCAGUGGGAGCACAGGUUUACCUGUGUGACUGCGUACCUUUUGUAUAAUGGGUCAGCGACUUAUAUUCUGUAGCAAGGUUAACCGUAUAGGGGAGCCGUAGGGAAACCGAGUCUUAACCGGGCGUUAAGUUGCAGGGUAUAGACCCGAAACCCGGUGAUCUAGCCAUGGGCAGGUUGAAGGUUGGGUAACACUAACUGGAGGACCGAACCGACUAAUGUUGAAAAAUUAGCGGAUGACCUGUGGCUGGGGGUGAAAGGCCAAUCAAACCGGGAGAUAGCUGGUUCUCCCCGAAAGCUAUUUAGGUAGCGCCUCGUGAAUUCAUCUCCGGGGGUAGAGCACUGUUUCGGCUAGGGGGCCAUCCCGGCUUACCAACCCGAUGCAAACUGCGAAUACCGGAGAAUGUUAUCACGGGAGACACACGGCGGGUGCUAACGUCCGUCGUGAAGAGGGAAACAACCCAGACCGCCAGCUAAGGUCCCAAAGUCAUGGUUAAGUGGGAAACGAUGUGGGAAGGCCCAGACAGCCAGGAUGUUGGCUUAGAAGCAGCCAUCAUUUAAAGAAAGCGUAAUAGCUCACUGGUCGAGUCGGCCUGCGCGGAAGAUGUAACGGGGCUAAACCAUGCACCGAAGCUGCGGCAGCGAACGUAUCACCCAAGACAACUUUACGGAGUUGACGAUUGACGGAGCGAAGCGACGUCAAAGCGUUCAUUAAAGUCGAGUUGGCUUAGGGAUACGUUCGUUGGGUAGGGGAGCGUUCUGUAAGCCUGUGAAGGUGUGUCGUGAGGCAUGCUGGAGGUAUCAGAAGUGCGAAUGCUGACAUAAGUAACGAUAAAGCGGGUGAAAAGCCCGCUCGCCGGAAGACCAAGGGUUCCUGUCCAACGUUAAUCGGGGCAGGGUGAGUCGACCCCUAAGGCGAGGCCGAAAGGCGUAGUCGAUGGGAAACGGGUUAAUAUUCCCGUACUUGGUGUUACUGCGAAGGGGGGACGGAGAAGGCUAUGUUGGCCGGGCGACGGUUGUCCCGGUUUAAGCGUGUAGGUGUGUGUUCCAGGUAAAUCCGGUUCACUUUAACACUGAGGCGUGACGACGAGGCACUACGGUGCUGAAGCAACAAAUGCCCUGCUUCCAGGAAAAGCCUCUAAGCAUCAGGUAACACGAAAUCGUACCCCAAACCGACACAGGUGGUCAGGUAGAGAAUACCAAGGCGCUUGAGAGAACUCGGGUGAAGGAACUAGGCAAAAUGGUGCCGUAACUUCGGGAGAAGGCACGCUGACACGUAGGUGAAGUGAUUUACUCAUGGAGCUGAAGUCAGUCGAAGAUACCAGCUGGCUGCAACUGUUUAUUAAAAACACAGCACUGUGCAAACACGAAAGUGGACGUAUACGGUGUGACGCCUGCCCGGUGCCGGAAGGUUAAUUGAUGGGGUCAGCGUAAGCGAAGCUCCUGAUCGAAGCCCCGGUAAACGGCGGCCGUAACUAUAACGGUCCUAAGGUAGCGAAAUUCCUUGUCGGGUAAGUUCCGACCUGCACGAAUGGCGUAAUGAUGGCCAGGCUGUCUCCACCCGAGACUCAGUGAAAUUGAACUCGCUGUGAAGAUGCAGUGUACCCGCGGCAAGACGGAAAGACCCCGUGAACCUUUACUAUAGCUUGACACUGAACAUUGAGCCUUGAUGUGUAGGAUAGGUGGGAGGCUUUGAAGUGUGGACGCCAGUCUGCAUGGAGCCGACCUUGAAAUACCACCCUUUAAUGUUUGAUGUUCUAACGUGGACCCGUAAUCCGGGUUGCGGACAGUGUCUGGUGGGUAGUUUGACUGGGGCGGUCUCCUCCUAAAGAGUAACGGAGGAGCACGAAGGUUGGCUAAUCCUGGUCGGACAUCAGGAGGUUAGUGCAAUGGCAUAAGCCAGCUUGACUGCGAGCGUGACGGCGCGAGCAGGUGCGAAAGCAGGUCAUAGUGAUCCGGUGGUUCUGAAUGGAAGGGCCAUCGCUCAACGGAUAAAAGGUACUCCGGGGAUAACAGGCUGAUACCGCCCAAGAGUUCAUAUCGACGGCGGUGUUUGGCACCUCGAUGUCGGCUCAUCACAUCCUGGGGCUGAAGUAGGUCCCAAGGGUAUGGCUGUUCGCCAUUUAAAGUGGUACGCGAGCUGGGUUUAGAACGUCGUGAGACAGUUCGGUCCCUAUCUGCCGUGGGCGCUGGAGAACUGAGGGGGGCUGCUCCUAGUACGAGAGGACCGGAGUGGACGCAUCACUGGUGUUCGGGUUGUCAUGCCAAUGGCACUGCCCGGUAGCUAAAUGCGGAAGAGAUAAGUGCUGAAAGCAUCUAAGCACGAAACUUGCCCCGAGAUGAGUUCUCCCUGAGACUUAG
rnacentral:rRNA from 1 species